AUACUCCGGUUCCUCUUCAUAUUGUACACAUAUUUUGCCUUUUACUAAAGAUUUCUGAGGAGGGGAAUAACUUUAAGUCCUACUUUAAUUCUAUGAGGCCAUGCUUUGAUACAGCU